CAGUCGCCGCGGUAAUACGUAGGGUGCAAGCGUUAAUCGGAAUUACUGGGCGUAAAGCGUGCGCAGGCGGUUUGUUAAGACAGAUGUGAAAUCCCCGGGCUCAACCUGGGAACUGCAUUUGUGACUGGCAAGCUAGAGUGUGGCAGAGGGGGGUGGAAUUCCGCGCGUAGCAGUGAAAUGCGUAGAUAUGCGGAGGAACACCGAUGGCGAAGGCAGCCCCCUGGGCCAACACUGACGCUCAUGCACGAAAGCGUGGGGAGCAAACAGGAUUAGAUACCCCUGUAGUCCCUGUCUCUUAUAC
rnacentral:rRNA from 1 species